GCCGAGGUGGCGGAAUUGGCAGACGCGCAUGGUUGAGGGCCAUGUGGACAUUUUUCGUCCGUGCGGGUUCAAGUCCCGCCCUCGGCACCA
rnacentral:tRNA from 1 species